rnacentral:rRNA from 1 species
GUGGGGAAUCUUAGACAAUGGGGGCAACCCUGAUCUAGCCAUGCCGCGUGAGUGAUGAAGGCCUUAGGGUUGUAAAGCUCUUUCAGUGGGGAAGAUAAUGACGGUACCCACAGAAGAAGCCCCGGCUAACUCCGUGCCAGCAGCCGCGGUAAUACGGAGGGGGCUAGCGUUGUUCGGAAUUACUGGGCGUAAAGCGCACGUAGGCGGAUCGGAAAGUUGGGGGUGAAAUCCCAGGGCUCAACCCUGGAACUGCCUUCAAAACUAUCGGUCUGGAGUCCGAGAGAGGUGAGUGGAAUUCCGGGUGUAGAGGUGAAAUUCGUAGAUAUUCGGAGGAACACCAGUGGCGAAGGCGGCUCACUGGCUCGGUACUGACGCUGAGGUGCGAAAGCGUGGGGAGCAAACAGGAUUAGAAACCCGGGUAGUCC